rnacentral:rRNA from 1 species
AUUGAACGCUGGCGGCAGGCCUAACACAUGCAAGUCGAACGGUAACAGGAAGAAGCUUGCUUCUUUGCUGACGAGUGGCGGACGGGUGAGUAAUGUCUGGGAAACUGCCUGAUGGAGGGGGAUAACUACUGGAAACGGUAGCUAAUACCGCAUAACGUCGCAAGACCAAAGAGGGGGACCUUCGGGCCUCUUGCCCUCGGAUGUGCCCAGAUGGGAUUAGCUAGUAGGUGGGGUAACGGCUCACCUAGGCGACGAUCCCUAGCUGGUCUGAGAGGAUGACCAGCCACACUGGAACUGAGACACGGUCCAGACUCCUACGGGAGGCAGCAGUGGGGAAUAUUGCACAAUGGGCGCAAGCCUGAUGCAGCCAUGCCGCGUGUAUGAAGAAGGCCUUCGGGUUGUAAAGUACUUUCAGCGGGGAGGAAGGGAGUAAAGUUAAUACCUUGGCUCAUUGACGUUACCCGCAGAAGAAGCACCGGCUAACUCCGUG